GGUAUCAGAAGUGCGAAUGCUGACAUAAGUAACGAUAAAGCGGGUGAAAAGCCCGCUCGCCGGAAGACCAAGGGUUCCUGUCCAACGUUAAUCGGGGCAGGGUGAGUCGACCCCUAAGGCGAGGCCGAAAGGCGUAGUCGAUGGGAAACGGGUUAAUAUUCCCGUACUUGGUGUUACUGCGAAGGGGGGACGGAGAAGGCUAUGUUGGCCGGGCGACGGUUGUCCCGGUUUAAGCGUGUAGGUGUGUGUUCCAGGUAAAUCCGGUUCACUUUAACACUGAGGCGUGACGACGAGGCACUACGGUGCUGAAGCAACAAAUGCCCUGCUUCCAGGAAAAGCCUCUAAGCAUCAGGUAACAUCAAAUCGUACCCCAAACCGACACAGGUGGUCAGGUAGAGAAUACCAAGGCGCUUGAGAGAACUCGGGUGAAGGAACUAGGCAAAAUGGUGCCGUAACUUCGGGAGAAGGCACGCUGACACGUAGGUGAAGUGAUUUACUCAUGGAGCUGAAGUCAGUCGAAGAUACCAGCUGGCUGCAACUGUUUAUUAAAAACACAGCACUGUGCAAACACGAAAGUGGACGUAUACGGUGUGACGCCUGCCCGGUGCCGGAAGGUUAAUUGAUGGGGUCAGCGUAAGCGAAGCUCCUGAUCGAAGCCCCGGUAAACGGCGGCCGUAACUAUAACGGUCCUAAGGUAGCGAAAUUCCUUGUCGGGUAAGUUCCGACCUGCACGAAUGGCGUAAUGAUGGCCAGGCUGUCUCCACCCGAGACUCAGUGAAAUUGAACUCGCUGUGAAGAUGCAGUGUACCCGCGGCAAGACGGAAAGACCCCGUGAACCUUUACUAUAGCUUGACACUGAACAUUGAGCCUUGAUGUGUAGGAUAGGUGGGAGGCUUUGAAGUGUGGACGCCAGUCUGCAUGGAGCCGACCUUGAAAUACCACCCUUUAAUGUUUGAUGUUCUAACGUGGACCCGUAAUCCGGGUUGCGGACAGUGUCUGGUGGGUAGUUUGACUGGGGCGGUCUCCUCCUAAAGAGUAACGGAGGAGCACGAAGGUUGGCUAAUCCUGGUCGGACAUCAGGAGGUUAGUGCAAUGGCAUAAGCCAGCUUGACUGCGAGCGUGACGGCGCGAGCAGGUGCGAAAGCAGGUCAUAGUGAUCCGGUGGUUCUGAAUGGAAGGGCCAUCGCUCAACGGAUAAAAGGUACUCCGGGGAUAACAGGCUGAUACCGCCCAAGAGUUCAUAUCGACGGCGGUGUUUGGCACCUCGAUGUCGGCUCAUCACAUCCUGGGGCUGAAGUAGGUCCCAAGGGUAUGGCUGUUCGCCAUUUAAAGUGGUACGCGAGCUGGGUUUAGAACGUCGUGAGACAGUUCGGUCCCUAUCUGCCGUGGGCGCUGGAGAACUGAGGGGGGCUGCUCCUAGUACGAGAGGACCGGAGUGGACGCAUCACUGGUGUUCGGGUUGUCAUGCCAAUGGCACUGCCCGGUAGCUAAAUGCGGAAGAGAUAAGUGCUGAAAGCAUCUAAGCACGAAACUUGCCCCGAGAUGAGUUCU
rnacentral:rRNA from 1 species